CCCUUUUUUUGGGGGGUGCUUAUUCACUUGAAACUGUUCUAAUACGCAGAACUUGAAAGUCCCCACCCACUGAGUGAUCUCUCUUCCUCAGAGUACGCAGAAGUUCAAGAGAAAGUGUCUCAGAUUAUCAACCAAGAGUCAUUAAUGGAAAGUACAGGUUUCAAACAUAAGCUGGAAAACUUGGAAGACAAAGAUGCACUGGAAGGGAGUCUUGCUAAGCCCAAACAAUCAAGAUUGGAAGAUGGUGAUGUCCCAGCAUCCCCCGGCUUGGCAGACGAUGUGCCAGAGAGCUUAGAUGUUUCUGCUGUUAUCACAGCCUUGGAAAACUUCGCUGGAGAACUGAAAAGAAAAUAUGAGCUUAGGUAUGAAAAGAGUGCAAUUUAUUCAAACAAAGCAAAGAAAGCACCAGACUGUCUACUGAAACUUUUAAACCAGAUACACCUGCAAAGACUGAACAAAUUAGAGGACUUCCACAAGUUUGUUCUUCAAAAGUUGAGCAACCUGGAGAAAGAUAUUCAGGCUCUGAAACACCUGGAGAAGGAAGUGCUGGAAUUUUGGGAAAAACAGUCUGAUGAUCUGAAAUCAUUCUGUGAUCUGCAAGUGCUGAGGCUUAACCCAAUUCAGCCUUCCUAAGGAGAGUCAAAGCUUGGUUUUGCUACUGCAUCCCUCAGUCUGAAUCACGAGAAGAGGACAAUAAGGAUGGAGUUCCCAUUGGCUUGGGCUGCACGAGCCCUACUGUGAGACUGGUGCUCAUUCAGUUCUUUUCACUCACCAAUUUAGAGAAAAUUUCUUUAAACAGUCCCUGGGAACUGCUGAGUUGAAGUCGAAUAGAAUAUGUUGGUAGUUUGUCAUGGUGUUAUUAUCCAUUUUUUUCACAAAAAUUAAAAUAGGUAUUAAAAUUUGGGCAGAUAAGAGGAAGGUCAAGAUGUUCAUCAACUUCAAGUGAUGUUGCUUUUUCUCAUGAUUUUAUACAGUGACAUUGAUUUUUGAGAAAUGUCUUUGAGUUCUGUGGAGCCGGAAACUUUAGCAGCAUCAGCAUAAAUACAAUUUUGUAUAUCUCUUUAAAGGAGAAACUUAAUUUGAAAAUGAUGAAAAUAGCUCAGAUAAAAAUGGUGGCGUAUUUGGAGAAUAAAUGUAUUAGAUUCACUUGAGCUGCAGAUAUUUCAGAGUUUCUGCAGCACUUUAACAAAAUUACCAUCUUUAGCAGAGGAGAAAUAUUCAUCAUGUGAUGAUCACUACGUGCUCUCAUGACCUCUGAGUGCAUGAAACUGCACAUACAGUUGAGUGUUUGAAUUUAUUUUACAAAAAGAAAUCUACAUAAUGUAAUAAGAGCAACUUUGUUGUGAUUGGAUAGGUAAAGAUGAUAGACUGCAGAGUUUAUUCAUUAUGUUUUAUAAUUUAGUAAGUUAUGUUUAGCAUAUUGUAGUUUCAUUUGUCUAAAAAUGUUUACAACCCCAAUUUUGUUGUCAUUUUUUUCUCUACAGUAUUUGGAUGAGCUCUGCGUUAUUGUAUUGCUAAAAGCUUUAUCGAAAAUGCUUCAUUCUUUUAAGUCCAAACAACUAAUGUGGUUAGCCUCCUUUCACUUAGGCAUACAGUUCAAGGUUCACAGCUCCUGGGGACUUGGGGUGGUCUGGAUUUUGGUGUCAUUACAUUGAUGCUCUUCACUGAAAGGCAUCUAAAAACAUGACUUCCAGUCACAUCCCAGUACUAUGGGACAUAUAUUUGAGUGCGGACAGGGUGUUAGGGUGAAUAAGACAUGAUCUUAGCUAAUAAGAGCUUAAUCUAGAGAGGACAGUAUGACAUCCAGGGAACUACCACUCAAUGCUGUAUGUGACAUGAGCCACUGAGGAGGUGUACACUGAACACUGUGGGAUCCUUUAUGUUGGGUGGUCAGGGUUGGCUCCCUGGAUUACGAGUGCCAUUGGAAAUAGAUCUCAGAUGAAGAGGGAUUUUCUAAGAUGGGGGAAAAGAGACUAAUACGGAUUUAGGAAUGGAAGCAGAAAAAUGCAGGAUCUGAGGUCCUCAUACUCAAGCAGGGAGACAAGUUAGUCACACAUUACAUAAUAAAGGUGAAAAGCAAGGUGCAGGGUGCAGUGCCGAGGCGUGUGUGAGCACCCUGCCCUGGCCCAGCUGGAGCGAGCUGGGUUGGGCUGGGCUACAGGGUGUGGACAUGGAUGCGCCUUUUUGGUCAAUGUGCAUAGAAGGCUGGCUGCAGGCCUCCUGGAAGAACUGAGGCUCAGCAUCGGCUGCAUCCCCCACCCUGGUGAUGUUGGAGGGUGCCUGGGGGCCAUUUCCACCUCCGGAGCACCCGUCUUCCGCUCGUUCCUGUGGAGGAGUAGCCCCGUUCCCACAUAGCAAGCUCCCUGCCCGCCUGUGCCUAAGUCUCCCGCUGUCCCUCUGCCCCUGGCCUCCGCCCUCCGCAGCAGCUCUCGUAAGUAAUUGCUUUGUCCCCGCUCUGCCCUACGCUUGUCACACAGCAGUGCGACCCCAGCUUCUGCAUUUUCAAUAUAAGCCGACCAGAGGGCCGCAGAGGAUGUCCCUUCUGUGUCCCGCCCAUUUUGCUUCUUCUGCAGCCAGAUUCUUAAGGGCCAGAUUCUUAAGGGUGAUUUUCAUGUCACUUUUCUUUUUUUUUUUUUUUUGACUUUCCAUCCAUUCCAAAUCCCCUGCCAUUUCCUAACUGCUCCCAAGGAUGAAACUGAAAGCCUUUUUUGUCACUUGUCACCUGACCUCCUUGCAGAAUUUGACUACUCUCUUCUUGGCUUCUGGGACACCACUCUGUCCCUGCGACUGUCAGGCUCCUUCCUUAGCUGUGGCUCCUCCUCCCUGGGAGGUGCCCAGCUUUCUCCUUCCACUCUGGUCUUCCACCUUCUCUUGGCACAGACGGCUUCCUGAGCCCAGUGCCUUGGCCCCUGCCCAUUGGCAUCACCCGGCCACCUGUUCCUCAGUCCGAGUGUGUCCGCAGCCUGCUCUUGUCCUCUGCUCCCCUACCCUGUCCCGGCCUAACCCCUCUCCUUGCUGUUCACCAGCCCUACCAUCUCCUCCUGUCCCCUAAGCCCAGUUCCUUAGGCUCCGCCUUCCCAUCAAGUCCCCUGCCUGCCCUCCAGUGAAAUCUAGGUGACCUAGCCUAGAUUUUCAGCCAUACUGCAGGGAAGAUGCCACAACUGUGCCUCUGUCCCUGGCUUCUCCGAGCUGUUCUUCUUCCCCAGUGACCACAGGUUUCCCCCUGUGGUUGUUGGUCUACACCACCGUCUACCCAUCAUUCCCUGCUGAAUACCAUGGUGGUUUACAUGUUCCAUCCCUGGCAACAGAGAGAUGGAUCUUCUGCAAAUAGAGGAGAGAGGGGAGAGCAAGGGCACAUAGGAGGAAUUCAAGAAAUAACUUGCUAAGGAAUGCUGACUCCUAUUAGAUCCUAGACAUUUAACCAUUGGAUUGCCUUGAAUAUAGUUUCUUAUCUACCUGAAUUUUUCAAUCAUCAGAACCAAGCUUAGGCUAACAGUUCCUUUGGUAAACUGUUUUUAAGUGUUUCUCUAUGAACUGUGAUUAAAAAAAAAAUACAGUGAAUGUUUAGAAAAUUUUGAAAUUUAGAGUAAAAGCCACAUUGCUAUUAAUUUCAUUCAAAAUACUUCCUUUCAGUUUGAACACACUUAUCCCAUAAUUCUUGCCACUUUCUGCAGCAGUUCUAGGCGUCUUCCUUCAUGAGUGUCUUUGGUUGUGCUGUCAUGGUGCCCUUGGUGUCCCAAAUGGAUUCAAAAUGUUUAGCUUUUAUGGUCAUUUUGAUUUUGAGGAAGAGCUAGAAGUCACACAGUGCCAGAUUUGGUGAAUAAGGUGGAUGAGAACACACUGUAAUGUUUUUUAUGAGGCUGCCUUUCUUGUCAAGUUCACUAUUUUUUUAUACCUUGUAAAGACAUGAAAGAAGACUUCCACAACUGCCUCCAGAAGAGCAAGAACGACGGAAUCAGUGUAUUCAACCUGAGGGGGAGUAUUUUUGAGGGAAUUAAUGCAAUAUGUCUUUUAGUAUAAUUCCAUUUUUAGGGCCAGGUAUAUAGUUCAGUGGCACAGUGACUGCCUGGCAAGUGCAAGGUCCUGAGUUUGAUUCUCAGUUAAAAAAAAAAAAAAACAAAAACCCACAAGACUAUAAUACAGCUUUAAAAUUUAAACAUUCACUGUAUAUUUUCAUCACAUCUCAUACUUUGCCAGACUCAGAAUGCUAAGGGCAGAUAUUUCAUCUGCAUCAUUCUGUAUCCCAGCAUAAUACAUAGCACUGCAUAACAUAGGUUUGAUGGUGUUUUUGACUAAAUAAAACAUUUCCACAGUAGAUCAACACCUACCGGUUCAAACUAGUUUUAAAGGCAUACAAGCUUGUUCUACAUGGAGCUGUAAUCUCUCAGAGAAAUCUGCAACAUUUAUCAUUAGUUUUUAGGGCCACAGCUGGUAAAAUGGUAGAUCCAUUUCAAGUAUAUAACAUCAGGUCUAGCAAAAAUGAAAGAAUUUCUCCCUUUGUUGUUGGACACUCAGGAGUUAUAGAUCAAAUGCCUUCAGGGCCAGGUAGGUUUAUAGGUCCAGUGUAGAAGAUGAGAACCAGAAGAGGCCUAGGAUAGCAAAAGCAAUCUUGGGAAA
ensembl:lincRNA